GCCCGGCUCCCAGGCUGGCCGGCCGGGCGGAAUGGAGAGCGCUCGGCACCCAGCUCCGCCGCGGUGGCGACCGCCGCUUGCUCUGUGACGUUAGCAGCCUUCGCGGCUAUUUAUAUCCGCACGAUUGGAUUUCAUUCAUGAAACCCGGGCCUGGUGUGUCUGUGCGCUAGGGUGCGGGUUGCAAAGGAGCUGACCGGCCGCGGACUCCAAGGGAGGACAUUGGCUUUUGUUUCAAAACGGAGCCCAGCUGCUGACUAAGAGCUGCGUUAGCCCAGCCUCCUCCUCCCCUGGGCGUUGCACGUGCUGCCCGGCUCGACUCUGGGUUACCUUCCUCUGUGACUUGGCUCGUGGGGUCCCUGCAAGGGACGUAAGGACGCACCGGCUGCCCCCGACCCGAGCUGUGAGCUCUGAGGACGGACCAGAGGCAGUUUUCAUGCAUGCACAUAAAAGAUGUCUGUUUCCUACAGAAUGUCAGGUAAUCUGUGAAGCUCUAAGAAGGUGACAAUGAACGCAACCAACCCGGUGCUGGUCCCCAAGGCACUUUCUUUUCAGCCAGCUAUUAAAAUUAGUCUUAGCUGCAGCAUGCAAGAUCUUUCAGUGGCAGCGUGUGACCUCUGAGUUGUGGCAUGUGAAUCCAGUUCCCUGACCAGGGACCGAACCCGUCCCCCUGCAUUGGGAGCGCAGAGGCUUAGCCACUGGACCACCAGGAAAGUCCUGUAUUUGUGUCAUUCUUUUACCCGCUGUCUUCCCCACCAGCUUGAAGGCCAAAUGAGGGCAGAGCAUACCUGAUGUAAUUCACUGCAUCCUAACGGUGUCUAGCGCAUAGUAUGCACUCACUAAAGACAGUUUUAUUGAAAGCAUGAGUGUAUGGA
ensembl:lncRNA